ACCCAGACUCCUACGGGAGGCAGCAGUGAGGAAUAUUGGUCAAUGGCCGAGAGGCUGAACCAGCCAAGUCGCGUGAGCGAAGACGGCCCUACGGGUUGUAAACCUCUUUUGUCGGGGAGCAAAGAGAGUCACGUGUGACUCAUUGAGAGUACCCGAAGAAAAAGCAUCGGCUAACUCCGUGCCAGCAGCCGCGGUAAUACGGAGGAUGCGAGCGUUAUCCGGAUUUAUUGGGUUUAAAGGGUGCGCAGGCGGAGGUGCAAGUCAGCGGUCAAAUUGCGGGGCUCAACCCCGUACUGCCGUUGAAACUGCAUCUCUUGAGUGCGCGAGAAGUAUGCGGAAUGCGUGGUGUAGCGGUGAAAUGCAUAGAUAUCGCGCAGAACUCCGAUUGCGAAGGCAGCAUGCCGGCUCCACACUGACGCUGAGGCACGAAAGCGUGGGUAUCGAACAGGAUUAGAUACCCUCGUAUG
rnacentral:rRNA from 1 species